rnacentral:rRNA from 1 species
ACGUAGGGGGCGAGCGUUGUCCGGAAUUACUGGGCGUAAAGGGUGCGUAGGUGGCCUUUUAAGUUGGAUGUGAAAUACCCGGGCUUAACUUGGGGGGUGCAUCUAAUACUGGAGGGCUAGAGUGCAGGAGAGGAAAGCGGAAUUCCUAGUGUGGCGGUGAAAUGCGUAGAUAUUAGGAGGAGCACCGGUGGCGAAGGCGACUUACUGGACUGAAUCUGACGCUGAGGCACGAAAGCGUGGGGAGUAAAGAG